AACGAACGCUGGCGGCAUGCCUAACACAUGCAAGUCGAACGAAACCUUCGGGUCUAGUGGCGCACGGGUGCGUAACGCGGGGUAACCUGCCCUUGGGUUCCGAAUACCUCCCCGAGGGGGGUGCUCAGACCGGUUAAUGUCAUCCGACCAAAGAUUUAUCGCGUUUGGGUGGGCCCGCGUUGGAUUAGCUGGUUGGUAGGGUAAAAGCAUGCCAAGGCGAGGAUCCAGAGCUGGUCGGAGAGGAUGCUCCGCCACACUGGGACUGAGACCCGGACCAGACUCGUACGGGAGGGAGCAGAGGGUUGUAUAGUACACGGGGCGAAAGUCUGAUAAAGCAGUGUCGGGGAAGAGAUGAAGGCCUUAGGGUUGUAAAGCUCUUUUAGCCGGGAUGAUAAUGACAGUACCGGGAGAAUAAGCACCGGCUAACUCCGUG
rnacentral:rRNA from 1 species